ensembl:lncRNA
AUGUCCCCGGCUGCGGGGAGCAGCGUAACGCCUCCCUUCCCCAUCCCCAGCUGCACUGCUGCGAGCUCAAGAGGCAGAGCCCUCGCUAAGCCAGAACCAAGUAUAGGAAGUCACGGUCUUAGCAAAUAUAGCUCUGGUUGCUGUCCUUGUUCGGUAUCUAAUCUUUUCUUUUUUAAAUGUUUGGCAAGCAGUCCCUGCAACACGUGGCAGUGUGCUCCACCACUUGGAGUCGAUGCCUUUGUUUGGGACAGCUCCUGGUCAGCCUGCAGACGUCCCUCCCGGCCAGCCUGCUCUCAGGAUUGUGGUGUGACAGCAGUGACCCCGCGUGAGGUUUCUUUGAAGGACCCAGGAGCCCGUGUGGUUUUCUCUUGUCCCUUGGAGGUGCUUCCCUGGCAGGGAGGGAGGGAAAAUGGUUGGAAAUGUUGCCUCAGCAAGCAUGCCCAACUGGGGAGGGGAAAAUACGGCAUCAAAAAGCCACUUGAUGCAGGGUUUGAGGGAAGGGGGGUUCUUUCCUCCCCAAAGUGGAUGCCUGUGGAGUGCUUUAAAAAGGUACAGACAAGUAGUUCCUGCUCGUUGGGCUUUUGACCAGUUAAAACAAAGAGCUAAGCCCAUUUCCAUGGAGAAAUGUGUGGUGGAAAACUCUGGUGGAGUACAUUAGCAAUGCCUUUUCUUGUGCAUGUGUGUGUGGCUUGGUCACAUGCUUUAAAUAAUAGAUGGUUUGCACGCAAAAGAUUUAUUUAUUUAUUUUUAAUCAGUAGAUCUCAAUUUGGCAGAGCAGUGUAACACCCAUCAUCACUGGGGAAACUGAGGCACGGGGCCACGAAGGGAUCAGCCUGCAGCCGCGCGGCAGAGCUGGGGAUAAGACCCAGGUUUGCAGAGGCUCAAGUUGAUGUGCGUCAGAGGUCUGAUUAAAUCAAGAGAUUUGCAAGUUUAAGUGACCUAUAGCUCGAUGACUUUGACCAGUUGCUGCCAGAAGGUUACAGCCGCCCUGGGCAGGGUCCUGCCAGACCGGGCAGCACCUUGCAAGGUGCCCACCGGAGAUUAACGAGCGUGGACUAAAGGCAGAGGCGGCACAGUUGAGCUCCGCUCAUCCCAACAAAUAAGAACAUGGUUUUAAUCAAUAGAAAAGCGCCAGCAGCAAGCGGGAGGCUUUGGCCAAGGAAAAUAGUGAAAUAUUAGUCUGCUCUUUGUGGUGAAAGCAGCUAACUGGCUUAUGUGGCUUCAAAAAAAAAAAAAACAAAAGUACUAAUGGCCCUGGGUGCGUGUUCAGUUUUAUCCUGACCUCAGACUGCUCACUCGCUGCUGCUCUGAGUGUUGUGGCGGUAAUCAGUUGGGCAUUUUCGGACACAUAAACGAGUAGUAUUAUCAGCAACGCAGAGUCUCACUUUUUUUCCUGUAGGUGAAAAAAGCUACCCUCCAGGUUAAGGACGUGUAGCUCCGGGUUCAAGAGCUGCCCUUCAAGCAGGGGUGGGUCAGACCGCGGCCUUGUCAGCAGCGUUAAGUAUCAAAAUCCCUGCAACUGUAAUUUCACAUCCUGGCACGCUCUUUUCGGCACUUCGUCCUUUCACGGCGGAUGCCGGGGUGU